UGAAAGCAGUGCAAAGUACUGUGGUAUAUGAACUGUAUAGCCAAAUUUUGGUUGACAUAUUUAUUUAAUUAAAAUAGUUGGUUGUCUUUCAGUUCUUUUCAGUUUUAGUAAACUUGAGUGCUUAAUUACGGUCAUCCACUGACACAACAAACCAAAGCACCUGUGCUGGAUGAGAACAAAACAGUCAUGUGAUUAAUUGUGCCCUGAAAUAGGCUUCUUAGUAGAGAUGAGAAAAAGACAGACUUGAAAACGAUGGGAGACUUGGUACAGAACCUUUGAGUUCAGAUGCCGGCUGAGACGAUGGGCGAUGGGUCUCAUGACUCAUGGCUGGACAACUGAAAGAGGGAAACUGUGAAAUGACUUCAAGAUCCAAAGAAGAGAGCUCUGGAGAACCAUGUGCCGUUUCCGUGAAAUUCCUCUUGGAAUCCCUCUUCAGUCAUGCACUCUAAGUGAGGUAAUGGAUUAAGUUGCUGUCAAUGAAGAAAACCUUUCCAAAAGUUUCCAAUCCUGACGAGGCUGGUCUGUUGUCUGGUUUUAAAAUAAUUUUGGACAUUUUAUGUUUUUAGCAGAUAUAUACACAC
ensembl:lncRNA